AGGGGUAUAGCCAAGCGGUAAGGCAGCGGGUUUUGAUCCCGCCAUUCUGGGGUUCGAAUCCCUGUACCCCUGCCA
rnacentral:tRNA from 12 species